rnacentral:misc_RNA from 1 species
GAUGAAGAACGUAGCGAAAUGCGAUACUUGGUGUGAAUUGCAGAAUCCCGUGAACCAUCGAGUCUUUGAACGCAAGUUGCGCCCGAAGCCAUUAGGCCGAGGGCACGCCUGCCUGGGCGUCACACGUCGUUGCCCCCCCAUCUACUCCUUCGGGAUUGCGGGGGGCGGAUGAUGGCCUCCCGUGCGCCUCGUCGCGCGGUUGGCCUAAAUGCCAAGUCCUCGGCGACGCACGCCACGACAAUCGGUGGUUGCGAAACCUCGGUUGCCCGUCGUGUGCGGUCGUCGCGCAUCGAGGGCUCGAAAAAAUUGCCGGGCUUCGGCUCGACUUUCAACGCGACCCCCGGUCAGGCGGGGUUACCCGCUGAAUUUAAGCAUAUCAAUAAGCGGAGGA